rnacentral:rRNA from 1 species
CCUACGGGUGGCAGCAGUAGGGAAUCUUCCACAAUGGGCGAAAGCCUGAUGCAGCAACGCCGCGUGGGUGAAGAAGGUCUUCGGAUCGUAAAACCCUGUUGUUAGAGAAGAAAGUGCGUGAGAGUAACUGUUCACGUUUCGACGGUAUCUAACCAGGAAGCCACGGCUAACUACGUGCCAGCAGCCGCGGUAAUACGUAGGUGGCAAGCGUUAUCCGGAAUUAUUUGGCGUAAAGGGAACGCAGGCGGUCUUUUAAGUCGGAUGUGAAAGCCUUCGGCUUAACCGGAGUAGUGCAUUGGAAACUGGGAGACUUGAGGGCAGAAGAGGAGAGUGGAACUCCAGGUGUAGCGGUGAAAUGCGUAGAUAUAUGGAAGAACACCAGUGGCGAAAGCGGCUCUCUGGUCUGUAACUGACGCUGAGGUUCGAAAGCGUGGGUAGCAAACAGGAUUAGAUACCCCUGUAGUC